rnacentral:tRNA from 1 species
UGAGGAUGUAGCUGAGUUGGUAGAGUGCCUGCCUUGCAUGCACUAAGGCUCUGGGUUAAAUCCCCAGCACCACAA